UCACAGAAUCGUUUAUAUGACUAGUUCUUUUACAGUGAUUUGUGAACUGUGCAUUCUUGGCUUCUUGCAUUUAAGGUUGAAAAGAGAUGCCAAUUGACCUUGAACAUGCUUGGUGUCUACACCCGUAUUUAUAGUGAGAAUAUAAACACCAUGAGUCCAGAGAUUUGUGUAUCUGCCUGUUCAAGUAUGUAACCCCUGCACUUAACUCCAGUGCCAUGAACGAUAUGGUCCAUCACUAACGGAUCAGCCCUGGCUAAAUCAGUGGACGGGUACCAGGGAGCAGAUAAAGAAGCCCAGAACUCCUUUAUGUCUUGGGGCACGUAGUGAGACAAAGUGGAAAAACACAGCCUUCCCUCAAGGAGUCAAGGUUUUGAGGCUAAUACCGACAAGCUGGU